rnacentral:rRNA from 1 species
CAGUCGCCGCGGUAAUACGAAGGGUGCAAGCGUUACUCGGAAUUACUGGGCGUAAAGCGUGUGUAGGUGGUUGUUUAAGUCUGUCGUGAAAGCCCUGGGCUCAACCUGGGAAUGGCAGUGGAUACUGGCUCGCUAGAGUGUGUCAGAGGAUGGUGGAAUUCCCGGUGUAGCGGUGGAAUGCGUAGAGAUCGGGAGGAACAUCAGUGGCGAAGGCGGCCAUCUGGGACAACACUGACGCUGAGGCACGAAAGCGUGGGGAGCAAACAGGAUUAGAUACCCCCGUAGUCCCUGUCCUUAUACA